GCCAGGCAUGGUGGCACAUGCCUAUAAUCCCAGGGGCUUGGGAGGCUGAGACAGGAGGAUCACGAGUUCAAAGCCACCCUCAGCAAAAGCGAGGAGUUAAGCCACUCAGUGAGACCCUGUCUCUA
rnacentral:sRNA from 1 species